rnacentral:rRNA from 1 species
UACGUAGGGGGCGAGCGUUAUCCAGAUUUACUGGGCGUAAAGCGCGUGUAGGCGGCUGGUUAGGUGUGAUGUGAAAUCCUCGGGCUCAACCCGAGAACUGCAUUGCAAACCGGCCUGGCUAGAGUGCAGGAGAGGGAAGCGGAAUUCCAGGUGUAGCGGUGAAAUGCUUAGAUAUCAGGAGGAACACCAGUGGCGAAGGCGGUGUUCUGGGCCAGUACUGACGCUGAGGCGCGAAAGCGUGGGGAGCGAACAGG